GCCCGGAUAGCUCAGUUGGGAGAGCAGGGGAUUGAAAAUCCCCGUGUCCUUGGUUCGAUCCCGAGUCCGGGCACCA
rnacentral:tRNA from 2 species